rnacentral:rRNA from 1 species
UACGGAGGGUGCGAGCGUUAAUCGGAAUUACUGGGCGUAAAGCGUGCGCAGGCGGUUUUGUAAGCCAGAUGUGAAAUCCCCGGGCUUAACCUGGGAAUGGCAUUUGGGACUGCAAGGCUUGAGUGCGGCAGAGGAGACUGGAAUUCCUGGUGUAGCAGUGAAAUGCGUAGAUAUCAGGAGGAAUACCGAUGGCGAAGGCAGCUCACUGGGACGGUAUUGACGCUGAGACGCGAAAGCGUGGGGAGCAAACAGG